AUCCAACUGACGAGUCCUAAAUAGGACAAAACGCGCUUUCUGGAU
rfam:Schistosoma mansoni strain Puerto Rico chromosome 2, complete genome